rnacentral:rRNA from 1 species
AUUGAACGCUGGCGGCAGGCCUAACACAUGCAAGUCGAACGAGUGGCGGACGGGUGCGUAAUGUCUGGGAAACUGCAUGAUGGAGGGGGAUAACUACUGGAAACGGUAGCUAAUACCGCAUACCAUCGGAUGUGCCCAGAUGGGAUUAGCUAGUAGGUGGGGUAAAGGCUAACCUAGGAGCCGCUCCCUAGGUGGUCUGAGAGGAUGACCAGCCACACUGGAACUGAGACACGUGCCAUAGUCCUACGGGAGGCAGCAGUGGGGAAUAGUGCACAAUGGGCGCAAGCCUGAUGCAGCCAUGCCGCUUGUAUGAAUAAGGCCUUCGGGUUGUAAAGUAAUUUCAGCGGGGAGGCGUUACCCGCAGAAGAAGCACCGGCUAACUCCGUGCCAGCAGCCGCGGUAAUUC